rnacentral:ncRNA from 1 species
GAAAAGAUCCCAGCCAGAUCAUCAGUACUGACCCUGUGCGGCAAGCGGUAACGCUUGACGUAAAGCGUGGGAAAGAAGGCAGCAGGGAUAGUAUAGAGCACCGAAACUGAGAAGAACCGUGAGAUGACCUAGUGGGAAGCGGGGAAAUCAACACCAUGAGGGGCGUCAGAGGCGAGCCCCAGAAUGGUCACGGCGGUGUCUAAGGC